rnacentral:rRNA from 1 species
UACAGAGGUCUCAAGCGUUGUUCGGAUUCACUGGGCGUAAAGGGUGCGUAGGCGGCGCGGUAAGUCGGGUGUGAAAUCUCGGGGCUUAACUCCGAAACUGCAUUCGAUACUGCCGUGCUUGAGGACUGGAGAGGAGACUGGAAUUUACGGUGUAGCGGUGAAAUGCGUAGAUAUCGUAAGGAAGACCAGUGGCGAAGGCGGGUCUCUGGACAGUUCCUGACGCUGAGGCACGAAGGUCAGGGGAGCAAACGGG